rnacentral:rRNA from 1 species
CCUACGGGUGGCAGCAGUGGGGCAUAUUGCACAAUGGGCGAAAGCCUGAUGCAGCAACGCCGCGUGAAGGAAGAAGGGUUUCGGCUCGUAAACUUCUAUCAACAGGGACGAAAGAAAUGACGGUACCUGAAUCAGAAGCCCCGUCUACCUACGUGCCCGCAGCCGCGGUACGACGGAGGGGGCCAGCGUUAUCAGGAAUUACUUGGGGUAAAGGGUUAGUCGGCGUGAUGGUAAGCCAGAUGUUAAAGCCUUGGGCUUAACCCGAGGAGUGCAUUUGGAACUAUCAAGCUAGAGGACAGGGGAGGAAAGCGGAAUUCCGAGUGUAGCGGUGAAAGGCGUAGAGAUUAGGAAGAACACCAGUGGCGAAGGCGGCUUUCUGGACUGAAACUGACGCUGAGGCACGAAAGCGUGGGGAGCGAACAGGAUUAGAUACCCUAGUAGUC